CACUACACAUUUGACAAGAUGAAUGCAUACUUUUUAAAGUACUCAAUGGAGACGGAUAAACAGAUUGCUGGUGAGAACAAGGAAAAGCACAAGUUUCCCACCAAGGUUGAAGAAUGAUUAGAAUUUAAAUCACUAAAGGCAGACUCCCAAGAAGCUAUACUAUAUGACGACAACGAUUGGAUGUAUGACAUGAAAGAGCCUGGAGGAACCACAAACGAUGGCCACCAACACGGAGGCCGGGCUUUCAAUGUCUCCCUAACAUGGUGUGAUUGCACUUGCAUGAGGCCAUCGUUGCUUCGUCUCCCAUGUUCGCACUUGUUAAACGCAUCUCGUGUUAGGAAUGUGGACGUCAAUCACCCUCUUACCGUGCGGGAGUCCGAGUUCUCAAUCAUGACGAUAAAGAAUACUGGGGCUCCCCGGUUUCAGCCAUACUUGGACCAGUCACAAUGGCCGGAGUAUCAUGGAGUUCAACUAUGGCCGGACCCGGAAUUGAAGGUCAUCAGACGGGGAAGACGUAUGACAAAGCGUCUUAGAGUUGACAUGGACGGACGGGGCCAUGGUGGCGAUCGAGAAUCCGGCACUGGCCAAUUCCAAGAGCCUCUUGAGAAAUCCCAUUGUGGGGAAUGCAAUGAUGGGGGACACAACACAAGAACUUGUAGCAAACCAAGAAAGAGAUGA
rnacentral:rRNA from 1 species